CUCAAGGUGCCCUUGUGGUAUUUCCAAGAAUAAGUCUCACAAGAGGAGAAGGUACUCUGUUCCGGCACACUGAAAGAGAAAGUUGGGUUUUCUUUAACUCAUAAUCGACAACUUCUUUUUUUUUUUGGGGUGGGGGGAUUUUUUUGUCUUCCCUCAGUCAUCCCUGGAAAUGACCGCAAUCACCGAGGUCGCUUCCUCACCGCCUGAGACACUUCCACGUUUUACAAAGGUUGCUGUGGCGAGGCAGUGACAGACGGUCCGGCGGUGAAAGCUAAGGGUUCGGUCAUUAGCUCGCGGUUGGCGGCGGCCUUACCUGACGAGGCUCCCGGAGGAGUCCGGAUCCCUGGCGGCUACCCUCCCGAUCACCGUGGCGACGGGGGCGUUCUCCUUCACUUCCAGUAGGUACAUGGGCUUGGAGAAGACCGGAGGCUCAUCGGCGUCCUCCACCACUAUCUUGACCGUUGCCGUGUCCUUGAAGGGCCCGCCGCUGCCGGGCUCCGAGCGGACGUUGGUCGCCUCCACCUUCAGUGUGUAGGCUUUCUUGCUCUCAUAGUCCAGAGGCUGGAAGGACAACAGAGACAGAGGGUCAAAGAGACGCUCGUCCUCAACUCACACCAGUCCCACGGUCACAUGAUCAACAACCAGAUGUUACCGCUGGAGCAAAACACAAAGAAGACGACAGGAAGUAGUUGGAGGAUGAUGACGGCGUGUUUUCCAAUGACUAAU